AUGAACGCUGGCGGCGUGCCUAAUACAUGCCAGUCGAGCGGACAGACGAGGAGCUUGCUCCUCUGACGUUAGCGGCGGACGGGUGAGUAACACGUGGAUAACCUACCUAUAAGACUGGGAUAACUUCGGGAAACCGGAGCUAAUACCGGAUAAUAUAUUGAACCGCAUGGUUCAAUAGUGAAAGACGGUUUUGCUGUCACUUAUAGAUGGAUCCGCGCCGCAUUAGCUAGUUGGUAAGGUAACGGCUUACCAAGGCAACGAUGCGUAGCCGACCUGAGAGGGUGAUCGGCCACACUGGAACUGAGACACGGUCCAGACUCCUACGGGAGGCAGCAGUAGGGAAUCUUCCGCAAUGGGCGAAAGCUUGACGGAGCAACGCCGCGUGAGUGAUGAAGGUCUUCGGAUCGUAAAACUCUGUUAUUAGGGAAGAACAAAUGUGUAAGUAACUAUGCACGUCUUGACGGUACCUAAUCAGAAAGCCACGGCUAACUACGUG
rnacentral:rRNA from 1 species